rnacentral:rRNA from 1 species
UCCUGACUGACCGAUAGUGAACCAGUACCGUGAGGGAAAGGCGAAAAGAACCCCGGCGAGGGGAGUGAAAAAGAACCUGAAACCGUGUACGUACAAGCAGUGGGAGCACGCUUAGGCGUGUGACUGCGUACCUUUUGUAUAAUGGGUCAGCGACUUAUAUUCUGUAGCAAGGUUAACCGAAUAGGGGAGCCGAAGGGAAACCGAGUCUUAACUGGGCGUUAAGUUGCAGGGUAUAGACCCGAAACCCGGUGAUCUAGCCAUGGGCAGGUUGAAGGUUGGGUAACACUAACUGGAGGACCGAACCGACUAAUGUUGAAAAAUUAGCGGAUGACUUGUGGCUGGGGGUGAAAGGCCAAUCAAACCGGGAGAUAGCUGGUUCUCCCCGAAAGCUAUUUAGGUAGCGCCUCGUGAAUUCAUCUCCGGGGGUAGAGCACUGUUUCGGCAAGGGGGUCAUCCCGACUUACCAACCCGAUGCAAACUGCGAAUACCGGAGAAUGUUAUCACGGGAGACACACGGCGGGUGCUAACGUCCGUCGUGAAGAGGGAAACAACCCAGACCGCCAGCUAAGGUCCCAAAGUCAUGGUUAAGUGGGAAACGAUGUGGGAAGGCCCAGACAGCCAGGAUGUUGGCUUAGAAGCAGCCAUCAUUUAAAGAAAGCGUAAUAGCUCACUGGUCGAGUCGGCCUGCGCGGAAGAUGUAACGGGGCUAAACCAUGCACCGAAGCUGCGGCAGCG